AGAGUUUGAUCCUGGCUCAGGAUGAACGCUGGCGGCGUGCCUAAUACAUGCAAGUCGAGCGAACGGACGAGAAGCUUGCUUCUCUGAUGUUAGCGGCGGACGGGUGAGUAACACGUGGAUAACCUACCUAUAAGACUGGGAUAACUUCGGGAAACCGUAGCUAAUACCGGAUAAUAUUUUGAACCGCAUGGUUCAAAAGUGAAAGACGGUCUUGCUGUCACUUAUAGAUGGAUCCGCGCUGCAUUAGCUAGUUGGUAAGGUAACGGCUUACCAAGGCAACGAUGCAUAGCCGACCUGAGAGGGUGAUCGGCCACACUGGAACUGAGGCACGGUCCAGACUCCUACGGGAGGCAGCAGUAGGGAAUCUUCCGCAAUGGGCGAAAGCCUGACGGAGCAACGCCGCGUGAGUGAUGAAGGUCUUCGGAUCGUAAAACUCUGUUAUUAGGGAAGAACAUAUGUGUAAGUAACUGUGCACAUCUUGACGGUACCUAAUCAGAAAGCCACGGCUAACUACGUGCCAGCAGCCGCGGUAAUACGUAGGUGGCAAGCGUUAUCCGGAAUUAUUGGGCGUAAAGCGCGCGUAGGCGGUUUUUUAAGUCUGAUGUGAAAGCCCACGGCUCAACCGUGGAGGGUCAUUGGAAACUGGAAAACUUGAGUGCAGAAGAGGAAAGUGGAAUUCCAUGUGUAGCGGUGAAAUGCGCAGAGAUAUGGAGGAACACCAGUGGCGAAGGCGACUUUCUGGUCUGUAACUGACGCUGAUGUGCGAAAGCGUGGGGAUCAAACAGGAUUAGAUACCCUGGUAGUCCACGCCGUAAACGAUGAGUGCUAAGUGUUAGGGGGUUUCCGCCCCUUAGUGCUGCAGCUAACGCAUUAAGCACUCCGCCUGGGGAGUACGACCGCAAGGUUGAAACUCAAAGGAAUUGACGGGGACCCGCACAAGCGGUGGAGCAUGUGGUUUAAUUCGAAGCAACGCGAAGAACCUUACCAAAUCUUGACAUCCUUUGACAACUCUAGAGAUAGAGCCUUCCCCUUCGGGGGACAAAGUGACAGGUGGUGCAUGGUUGUCGUCAGCUCGUGUCGUGAGAUGUUGGGUUAAGUCCCGCAACGAGCGCAACCCUUAAGCUUAGUUGCCAUCAUUAAGUUGGGCACUCUAAGUUGACUGCCGGUGACAAACCGGAGGAAGGUGGGGAUGACGUCAAAUCAUCAUGCCCCUUAUGAUUUGGGCUACACACGUGCUACAAUGGACAAUACAAAGGGCAGCGAAACCGCGAGGUCAAGCAAAUCCCAUAAAGUUGUUCUCAGUUCGGAUUGUAGUCUGCAACUCGACUACAUGAAGCUGGAAUCGCUAGUAAUCGUAGAUCAGCAUGCUACGGUGAAUACGUUCCCGGGUCUUGUACACACCGCCCGUCACACCACGAGAGUUUGUAACACCCGAAGCCGGUGGAGUAACCUUUUAGGAGCUAGCCGUCGAAGGUGGGACAAAUGAUUGGGGUGAAGUCGUAACAAGGUAGCCGUAUCGGAAGGUGCGGCUGGAUCACCU
rnacentral:rRNA from 1 species